rnacentral:rRNA from 1 species
GAUGAACGCUGGCGGUGUGCCUAAUACAUGCAAGUCGUACGCAUUCUCGUUUCCGAUUGACGGUGCUUGCACCUAAUUGACGAGACAUUGGAAUGAGUGGCGGACGGGUGAGUAACACGUGGGUAACCUGCCCAAAGCGGGGAUAACAUUUGGAAACAGAUGCUAAUACCGCAUAACCACAGAAACCACAUGGUUUCUGUGUCAAAGAUGGUUUCGGCUAUCACUUUGGGAUGGACCCGCGGCGUAUUAGCUAGUUGGUAAGGUAAUGGCUUACAAAGGCAAUGAUACGUAGCCGAACUGAGAGGUUGAUCGGCCACAUUGGGACUGAGACACGGCCCAAACUCCUACGGGAGGCAGCAGUAGGGAAUCUUCCACAAUGGACGAAAGUCUGAUGGAGCAACGCCGCGUGAGUGAAGAAGGUUUUCGGAUCGUAAAACUCUGUUGUCAGAGAAGAACGUGUGCGAGAGUAACUGUUCGUGCAGUGACGGUAUCUGGCCAGAAAGCCACGGCUAACUACGUGCCAGCCGCCGCGGUAA